rnacentral:sRNA from 1 species
AUUGAAAAUGAAGAAUCAAAAAGUCAAAGACUAACUAUUGAAAAUGAAGAAUCAAGAAAUCAAGACAACGAUCAAGAUGGCGGCAAGAAGGUAAGA